UCCGGCUCCAACGGUCGGUGCGCGAGGCAGAGUCGCUGACGACGUCCUGCGCGGCCGGAGUCCGGUACCGCGGGGGUCCAGCUGUCUGCUGAGGACAACGCCAUCAUGAACUGGGUGGGAGGCUCCAGAAACAGGAUUAAAUUGAAGCAAGAGAAAAAGCAACAAAAGGAGUUUUUUGAGAAGCGGAAACUUAAAUCAAAAAUUAAGCGGUUAGAUCCCCCAUUGUCACCUCAACAGAAUUCAUCCAU